AUCCUUUUGUAGUUCAUAAGCAUGAUUGGGUUUUCACACUGUGUGUGAGGUGUGCCUCCCUCAAACCUUGUUACCUCGUCAGCACUUUACCUAUCUGAUG